rnacentral:rRNA from 1 species
GACGAAGGUGGCAAGCGUUACUCGGAUUUACUAGGUGUAAAGCGUGGGCAGGUGGUCCGAUAAGUCUGUUGUGAAAGCUCCUGGCUUAACUGGGAGAGGCCAAUGGAUACUGUCGGGCUUGAAUAUGGGAGAGGUGACUGGAAUUCCUGGUGUAGCGGUGAAAUGCGUAGAUAUCAGGAGGAACAUCGAUGGCGAAAGCAGGUCACUGGACCAUUAUUGACACUCAUCCACGAAAGCUGGGGGAUCAAACAGG